ACACAUGCAAGUCGAACGGUAACAGGUCUUUUGAUGCUGACGAGUGGCGAACGGGUGAGUAAUACAUCGGAACGUGCCCAGUAAUGGGGGAUAGCUCGGCGAAAGCCGGAUUAAUACCGCAUACGCCCUGAGGGGGAAAGUGGGGGAUCGCAAGACCUCACGUUAUUGGAGCGGCCGAUGGCUGAUUAGCUAGUUGGUAGGGUAAAGGCCUACCAAGGCGACGAUCAGUAGCUGGUCUGAGAGGACGAUCAGCCACACUGGGACUGAGACACGGCCCAGACUCCUACGGGAGGCAGCAGUGGGGAAUUUUGGACAAUGGGGGAAACCCUGAUCCAGCAAUGCCGCGUGUGCGAAGAAGGCCUUCGGGUUGUAAAGCACUUUUGUCAGGGAAGAAAUCCUUUGGGCUAAUACCCUAGGGGGAUGACGGUACCUGAAGAAUAAGCACCGGCUAACUACGUGCCAGCAGCCGCGGUAAUACGUAGGGUGCAAGCGUUAAUCGGAAUUACUGGGCGUAAAGCGUGCGCAGGCGGUUGUGUAAGACAGGUGUGAAAUCCCCGGGCUUAACCUGGGAAUUGCAUUUGUGACUGCACGACUAGAGUGUGUCAGAGGGGGGUGGAAUUCCACGUGUAGCAGUGAAAUGCGUAGAUAUGUGGAGGAACACCAAUGGCGAAGGCAGCCCCCUGGGAUAACACUGACGCUCAUGCACGAAAGCGUGGGGAGCAAACAGGAUUAGAUACCCUGGUAGUCCACGCCCUAAACGAUGUCAACUAGUUGUUGGGGAUUUACUUCCUUGGUAACGUAGCUAACGCGUGAAGUUGACCGCCUGGGGAGUACGGCCGCAAGGUUAAAACUCAAAGGAAUUGACGGGGACCCGCACAAGCGGUGGAUGAUGUGGAUUAAUAUCGAUGCAACGCGAAAAACCUUACCUACCCUUGACAUGGCAGGAACUUUCCAGAGAGAGAUUGGUGCUUGAAAGAGAACCUGCACACAGGUGAUGCAUGGCUGUAGUCAG
rnacentral:rRNA from 1 species